GAUGAACGCUGGCGGCGUGCUUAACACAUGCAAGUCGAACGUGAGAGGUAGCAAUAUCUUGAAAGUGGCGCACGGGUGAGUAACACGUAGGUAACCUGCCUCGGAGUGGGGAUAACAGUUAGAAUGACUGCUAAUACCGCAUGAAUCCAUUAAGAUGGGAAUGUUGAUGGAGAAAACUCUGGUGCUUCGAGAGGGGCCUGCGGUCGAUUAGCUAGUUGGCGGGUAACGCCGACCAAGGCGACGAUCGAUAGCUGGUCUGAGAGGACGAUCAGCCACACGGGAACUGAGACACGGUCCCGACUCCUACGGGGGCAGCAGUGAGGAAUAUUGGGCAAUGGGCGGAAGCCCUGACCCAGCAACGCCGCGUGGAGGAAUGAAGGCC
rnacentral:rRNA from 1 species